rnacentral:rRNA from 1 species
AUUGAACGCUGGCGGCAUGCUUUACACAUGCAAGUCGAACGGUAACAGGCCGCAAGGUGCUGACGAGUGGCGAACGGGUGAGUAAUGCAUCGGAACGUGCCCAGUCGUGGGGGAUAACGCAGCGAAAGCUGCGCUAAUACCGCAUACGAUCUAUGGAUGAAAGCGGGGGACCGUAAGGCCUCGCGCGGUUGGAGCGGCCGAUGUCAGAUUAGGUAGUUGGUGGGGUAAAGGCUCACCAAGCCGACGAUCUGUAGCUGGUCUGAGAGGACGACCAGCCACACUGGGACUGAGACACGGCCCAGACUCCUACGGGAGGCAGCAGUGGGGAAUUUUGGACAAUGGGCGCAAGCCUGAUCCAGCAAUGCCGCGUGCAGGAAGAAGGCCUUCGGGUUGUAAACUGCUUUUGUACGGAACGAAACGGCUCUGGUUAAUACCUGGGGCUAAUGACGGUACCGUAAGAAUAAGCACCGGCUAACUACGUGCCAGCCGCCGCAGUAAAAC